ACAAUAUUUUGCUGCCCAUAUUGUUCCUAGUUGUUAACAAUAUUGUUCAGGUGAGCAAUGCUGAACAAUAUUGUUAACAACCAGGAGCAAUAUGGGCAGCAAAAUAUUGUCC